GGUCCUGCCUCCACGACUCGGCCGCGUCGACGUUGGGAGAAGGGCAGUAAGUUAAUACCUUGCUGUUUGACGUUACCUUACGAAUAAGCAUCGGCUAACUCCGUGCCAGCAGCCGCGGUAAUACGGGGGAUGCGAGCGUUAUCCGGAUUCAUUGGGUUUAAAGGGUGCGUAGGCGGUAUGUUAAGUCAGCGGUGAAAUGCCAGCGCUCAACGUUGGAUUUGCCGUUGAUACUGGCAUGCUGGAGUACGGUUGCCGCCGGAGGAAUGUGUGGUGUAGCGGUGAAAUGCAUAGAUAUCACACAGAACACCGAUUGCGAAGGCAUCUGGCGAAGCCGUGACUGACGCUGAAGCACGAAAGCGUGGGGAUCGAACAGGAUUAGAUACCCUGGUAGUCCACGCUGUAAACGAUGAUGGCUAGCCGUUGCGGGGCGACCUGCAGUGGUCAAGCGAAAGCGAUAAGCCAUCCACCUGGGGAGUACGGCCGCAAGGCUGAAACUCAAAGGAAUUGACGG
rnacentral:rRNA from 1 species